GACGAACGCUGGCGGCGUGCUUAACACAUGCAAGUCGAACGGAAAGGCCCUUCGGGGUACUCGAGUGGCGAACGGGUGAGUAACACGUGGGUGAUCUGCCCUGCACUUUGGGAUAAGCCUGGGAAACUGGGUCUAAUACCGGAUAGGACUACGCGAUGCAUGUCGUGUGGUGGAAAGCUUUUGCGGUGUGGGAUGGGCCCGCGGCCUAUCAGCUUGUUGGUGAGGUUACGGCUCACCAAGGCAACGACGGGUAGCCGGCCUGAGAGGGUGACCGGCCACACUGGGACUGAGAUACGGCCCAGACUCCUACGGGAGGCAGCAGUGGGGAAUAUUGCACAAUGGGCGCAAGCCUGAUGCAGCGACGCCGCGUGAGGGAUGACGGCCUUCGGGUUGUAAACCUCUUUCAGCAGGGACGAAGCGCAAGUGACGGUACCUGUAGAAGAAGGACCGGCCAACUACGUGCCAGCAGCCGCGGUAACAC
rnacentral:rRNA from 1 species